GAUAGAGGCAAAAAGCCCACGACUUUUAAACACUUUUCUCUCGGAUAAAAUUUAGAAAAUCAUGAUACAUUUUCCUUUCUUCCCCUCAUAACCGCAACUAUGAGUUCACUACGGUUCUCUAGAAUUUGUUGAAUUGAUCUUAGGGUUCUCUCUUCAUAUCGUGUCGGUGGCAACAUUUAGAAAAUCUUGACACCAUGAGUUCUUCAUUUCAAAGUUGAAUAAUAUUUAUGACAAAGAUGGGAAAACAAGUUUGGCAACUUAAGAAGAGAGAAGAGUGAAAGAUACAAUUAUUGGGUGUAGCAUGUUUUUCACUUGCUGAUAAAAUGGAAGGGAUGAAAGUUUGAAUAAACCAAUUGGAAAAAUGCAUGAUGUAACAAUGCUGGGAAGAUAGAAUUUUGUUUUUUAGCUUUGAGAUACUUUAAUUACUUUUGUAAUGAACGUCCAUGAAAUUCUUAAUAAAGAAAUGGUUAUUUUGCAUAUUUUUAGAUUUAAA